GGUCAGAGAGAUAGCUCAGACAGUAGAGUAUGAGACUCCUAAUCUCAGGAUCGUGGGUUUGAGCCCCAUGUUGGCUG